CAGUAGCCGCGGUAAUACGGAGGGUGCAAGCGUUAAUCGGAAUUACUGGGCGUAAAGCGCACGCAGGCGGUCUGACAAGUCAGAUGUGAAAUCCCCGGGCUUAACCUGGGAACUGCAUUUGAAACUGUCAGGCUGGAGUCUUGUAGAGGGGGGUGGAAUUCCAGGUGUAGCGGUGAAAUGCGUAGAGAUCGGGAGGAAUACCGGUGGCGAAGGCGGCCCCCUGGACAAAGACUGACGCUCAGGUGCGAAAGCGUGGGGAGCAAACAGGAUUAGAGACCCCGGUAGUCCCUGUCUCUUAUAC
rnacentral:rRNA from 1 species